rnacentral:rRNA from 1 species
AGCAGUAGCCGCGGUAAUACGGAGGGUGCAAGCGUUAAUCGGAAUUACUGGGCGUAAAGCGCCCGCAGGCGGUUUGUUAAGUCAGAUGUGAAAUCCCCGAGCUUAACUUGGGAACUGCAUUUGAAACUGGCAAGCUAGAGUCUUGUAGAGGGGGGUAGAAUUCCAGGUGUAGCGGUGAAAUGCGUAGAGAUCGGGAGGAACAUCAGUGGCGAAGGCGGCCAUCUGGGACAACACUGACGCUGAGGCACGAAAGCGUGGGGAGCAAACAGGAUUAGAUACCCCUGUAGUCCCUGUCUCUUAUAC